ACGUCAUCCAAAAUUCGUUGGUUCUCGUCCGAUCACCGAAGUUAAGCAAUGUCAGGCCCGGUCAGUACUUGGGAGGGUGACCACCUGGGAACACCGGGUGCAUAAUA
rnacentral:rRNA from 1 species